CUCAUUCAUAUGAUUCUAACGUAGAAUCAUAGAACCGCUAGGCGAGCAGUGAGCUCCACCCAUGUAUUCUGCUAAGAUCAGGGAUGGUGCCAGGAUAUCCAAACAGGGGGCAUUGUAAUUCAUAUUUGGUUUUGUUUAUGUGUGUGUGUGUAACUAUAAAUUCCAACUUUCCUGUAAUUUUUAUCUUAAUAAACUGAUAAUUAGAACAUGUAAAUCAUAUGAGGUAAUUAAUAGAACUAAGAGUCAAAUAUGAGACAACAAGGGAUCAAUAAAGAAGUGUCAUAUUUAAUGCUUGUCUUAUGCUUCACAACUUUCCAUGAACUAAUUUCCAAUAAUUAGUGGCAAUCUCAAGGCAUCAAGAACCAGCAACGGUGGACAUCUAAUGAGUCCAGGACCAAUAUAUUCCAUCACCAAUGGAUCCAUCAGUCAUCAGUACAGACUCCAUGUUUCACUGGUUCUUGGUUUAGCAUUGAAAUGCCUGCUAUUUGGAUUUUCUAAUGUUUUGAUACAAAUUUGAUCAGUUCCUACUUAUCUGCUGUAUUCAUGCUAGUUAGUGGCAGAUUCUUAAUCGCUCUGGUUGGCCCAGCUGGUCUGCUUGGUUCCACCCAGUCAUAGCAGGUUUUUCAUUGAGUCCCAGCCAAUUGAAUGAUGCAACAAAUCUCUGUGCUGAACCCAAUCAUGUCCUGUGUACCUAUGUCACUAGGCCAUCUGUUAGGAUCUAUAAAUAUCUUGACCGUUAAGGCAAUUUUUACAAGUAUAUGAUUUCAAGAAUUGGAAAGUGUUUCUGUUUGGUGAUAUAAAUGGGUUAUAUAAAUGUCUAAAUGGUUACUGUGGAUUUUCCUGCCACUAUUAUAACAUUAGUAGUCUGGAAAUUGAUGCUUGCAAAGGACUCUGCACUACUAAUAACAAGAAUUCUUUGCUUAUGAUAUCUGAAUGUCUUCAUAACAUGGUUACAAAUGAUAUGGUAUAUCAAUCAUACCAACCACACCAAACUUAUCCAAUUUUAUACUGUCUACUAGUGUACUGAUUUAUACAUAUUCAGUAGUUUUAUGGUAUAUAAUUGGUGCAUGUGGACUAUAUGGUUGGUGCAUAAUGGUCCAAGAAGUUUCUUUUACUGGUAUUUAAAACUUUCCAUCAUAGUACCUUGAACAUUGAUUCUGUCUUGUGUGAUAAAUUAUGUUCCAGGAUUAGUCAGCACAUAAAGUUACAAGUUAAGGUGUUAAUAGGUGGUAGGAGGUUAGAAAAACGAUGAAAAAUAAGAUGCGAAAGAGGGUAAUAACUAGCCAACCAGCCUAAAGAAAUCGAGAUGGUUCUAACUAGAAUAAAUAACAUUAUUUCCUCCACUAGCAUUUGAGAUUCCUAAAACAUGUAGAUGUACAAUGGGCGGUCUGUAAGUACUGGCGUGUUGUAUGUUUAAAGUUAGUAUUCAUAACCCUCUUAUAUUUAUGUUUUCUAGAGGUACUUACACUCCAUGCUAUUCUGGCAACAUUGUUCUUUAAUUUUUCAUUUAUCCUUUUGAGUGUUUUGUUGUUUAUCUUGGGACAGAGAUGAAGUUUCCUGGAGUAUAUGGCAGAAGCCUUCUAGAAUUGGAGAAACGGAAAGGGCAGUUCUUCCCUUUGUUGGCUAGAUAUAUAAGAAACGUAACCAGCAUGCAUGAGCCCAAUGUUACAUAUGGUGCCCAGAGGCAAAAGAAGAGAGCCAUAGAUCUAGUGCAUAACUGGAGCAAGCUUCAGUCUUGGGAAUUAGUGCCUAAAAUUCAAGUUUGAUCGGUCGACAACAAGAUAUUUAUUGCUAUUCAGGCAUUUAUUUAGGAUUUGGUUCUAUUUUAAUUGGCACCCAGUGAAGAUUGAAUGAUGCACGAUUAAGAUAUGUCAAGCAUGCUUUGAGGUUUGGAAUGAUCGGGCUGGCUUUUUCACACAUAAAUCUUCUUUUAUCGGUCUAGUUGUAUCUUGAUUGUCACUGUUGUCACCAUUAACCUUUUUCUGCCACCAUAUGCAAGGAUGAUGGGACUGCAUCAAUCUAGGAGCUAAGCUUGGUAGAGCCCGAGGAUACAACAUGCAGGCUUAAAUAGUCUCAGCAUGAAGUAUAAGAAAAGAUUUCUCUUCGACCGGACAAGACUCGCAGAUCCUGAGCUUCAUUUCAUUUACAAAGGGAUUAAGCGACGGACGGCAAAACAAAGUGGAACGAGUGGCAGCGAGUCAAAGGUGUCAUCACGGAGGUCAUGCGAAGGAUGUUGGGUGGGUCUUAAGUGCUUCCUUUUUUCCACCUUCCAGAAGAAGGACGUCAUUCUUAUCUGUUGUUUUGCAUGGCAGAUAAAUACCGAAGCUCCGUGCUAAG